AUUUGCUAUUAUAAUUUACUAUGAAAAAAGUCAUUAUUCAAAGUACGUUUUUAUUGUCAAAGAGUCAUCACUUUAAAAUGAGAGCUUUAAUAACUAGAUGGAGGCAAGAGAGGGGUAUCGUCGUUCCUAUAGGAAACGAGGAAGCCUAUUACGGAUAUUCAUCUCUGAAAGCGCUUCGUGAUUUGGGAUGUACAUUACCAGUGGAGGUGUUUUAUAUGGGCCCGCAAGAUUUGGCUCCUUUUUAUAUAAACAUGUUGGGCUCAAUAGAAAAUGUAAGCUUCGUAGAUUUAUCAAGCAUUGUAACAGAAAAUCUUGAAAGAUGGGCCUGCAAACCUUUUUCUUUGCUUUUUUCUUCCUUUAAAGAAGUCAUUUUAAUG